AACGAACGCUGGCGGCAGGCUUAACACAUGCAAGUCGAACGCCCCGCAAGGGGAGUGGCAGACGGGUGAGUAACGCGUGGGAACAUACCCUUUUCUACGGAAUAGCUCUGGGAAACUGGAAUUAAUACCGUAUACGCCCUACGGGGGAAAGAUUUAUCGGGGAAGUAUUGGCCCGCGUUGGAUUAGCUAGUUGGUGGGGUAAAGGCCUACCAAGGCGACGAUCCAUAGCUGGUCUGAGAGGAUGAUCAGCCACAUUGGGACUGAGACACGGCCCAAACUCCUACGGGAGGCAGCAGUGGGGAAUAUUGGACAAUGGGCGCAAGCCUGAUCCAGCCAUGCCGCGUGAGUGAUGAAGGCCCUAGGGUUGUAAAGCUCUUUCACCGGUGAAGAUAAUGACGGUAACCGGAGAAGAAGCCCCGGCUAACUUCGUGCCAGCCGCCGCUGUAAAAC
rnacentral:rRNA from 1 species